UACGUAGGGUGCAAGCGUUGUCCGGAAUUAUUGGGCGUAAAGAGCUCGUAGGCGGUUUGUUGCGUCGGCUGUGAAAUCCCGAGGCUCAACCUCGGGUCUGCAGUCGAUACGAGCAAACUAGAGUGUUGCAGGGGAGACUGGAAUUCCUGGUGUAGCGGUGAAAUGCGCAGAUAUCAGGAGGAACACCGGUGGCGAAGGCGGUCAACUGGCCCUGAACUGACGCUCAGGCACGAAAGCGUGGGGAUCAAACAGG
rnacentral:rRNA from 1 species